GACGAAAUAAACAAAAAUUUCCGAACACAAUUUUUUAGAACAACUCUUUUACUGUAUAAAAAUGAUAUUUUCAUAAAUAUAACUUAAAACCAGCAGGAGCACAACUCAAAAGCGUAAAGGUACCGCGAUUUAAGAUUUUCCUGAAUAACUCUUACAUUAUUUUAUUGUUUGUUAAUUUUACAACUUUACCAUAUUUUGCAUGCACUGGAGAACAUUUGGUGAAAAUUUGAUGAAAAUCGGACUGAUAUUGAGCGCACAGUAGCGAUUUUCCGCAAAACGCCAAAAAGGGUGUCCUGUAACCUUAA